CAACGCUUGUGAGUGGUCGUUGUUUCUGCUCGAAUGUUUUGUGUUCCUCGUAGUUUGUGCGCAGCCGUCGAAACGUUUGCAAAUUUUGAUUUACAAAUUAACAGAACAAACACAGACCUCUAGUGGUCACAACAAACUAUAAACAAAUGCUAUAUAAACAAAACCCCAAAUCAAACUUGAUGAGAUUAAUUCAAACGCGUGUUGAUUUGUCACUCGCCGCGCGCGUGUAUGUGUGUGUUGGUUUGUGUGCGAGUGUGUGUGUAUUCGUGUGCUAAAGCGUGAUCGUAUAUGAUGAUAUAUUAAUUCUCAUUCCCGCCAGCCAUAGUCCGCCAUCUUCAUCUGGCACAAAAUGUUACAAUAUAAGCGUAAACCAUUUCAAUGUACGAUAUUAAAUUAAACUGGAUAUAAUAUGGAAAACAAACAACAACAAAUUCGUGCUUGAAAGUAUGCACACGCAAACAUUUGUACAUCACAUGUAUUACGUUGUCUGCUUGUUUCUGCAAGUUACUUUUUUCAAAUUGCCGUUGAUUACACGCACACACACACGCAUGCACAUGGAAACGCACAUACAGACGUAAUUUUUACCGAAAUAAUGAGCGUACCGGGCAGAGAGCCUCUGACAGCGGAUGCACGAGGCGUUUACAGUUGGAUCAGUUGGCGGUCGUCUAAUUAGAAACGAUUUAAUUUCAAUAACAAUUUAAUAAAACUGAGUUUGCGAAAUGAGAGAAAACGACUGCGAAGUGCGCUGCUGGCAAUAAAUAUCUCAUGAUAGACGAUGGAUUUUUUUUGCUCUCGUGUGUUUUGUGUGUCUGUGCAUGUGUGUAUGUAAUUCGCCAUACUUUUUCAAUUGGAAGAGUCAGGGCAGCGACAACAAGAGACCACCAUACUCUUCAUGAAGAACAAGGAUAACAAGAACAACGCCAGCGAAGAAGACAAGGCAUACUUGAGAAAUAAAAGCAGCGACUGCGACAGCAAAAGCAACAGCAGCCUCAACAAAAACAACUGCUACUCUCCUAUCAACUUGAGCCAUCAGCGCAGCCAUCGUUACUCACCAACACACUCGACAUACUCAAUGCUUGUACAUACAAAGUGAAUACACUCGCCGCUCUGUUGCUGUGUGUAAGCUUUGCUUUUUGCAUGCGUGUGAGUGUGUAUAGUAAACCGGGAACACCUUUCAACCCUGACGUCGAGUUACGCCCUGUUCCCUUGCCCUCCCUUUCCCACUUCACUUAUUGCUGCUGCCUUCACGCUACUGAAAUGCCAACGCACUCAAGUCGGAGUCUAAUAAAUAAAAAAAGUAAAAUAGCGCCGCAUUAUUUCUGGGCUUAUUUACAUAUUUUCGCUGCUGCUAUUUGUAGGUAGUAUUUAGGCAGCAGCAUACCUUUAACUUUACCUUCUUUAUACGUAGCGCAUUUUCAACCCCGAGACCGAGACGAGAAAGCAACGCGUCAAGCGCAGUGAAUUGCAACGGCACUUGGAAGUUUCCCAUUCCACAAUGAGUUGAAAAGCUGGCAGACGUCAAAUGCUGAAACUAAUUGAUAUAAUAGUUAAAAUAGCAAACUAACGAGAAAGAAGUUGGCAGCAAAGCCGCAAAACAAAGCGCAACAACAACAAAACAAACAAGAAGUGAGAUACAGAAGAAACUACUGCGUUGGCGAAGUGCAAAACCUUUCCAAUUUGAAAAUAGCUUUGUGCUGUGCUGUGUGCUCGUUCCCACAAACAACAACAACCACUAUGUGCUUGGCAAUUGCUGCAACCACAACUACAGCAACAGCGUCAAAGAGGACGAAGAGAGCAAGAUGACAAUGCAGCGAUUAAAGCAAAGCAGAACA